UCUACGGGGGGCAGCAGUAAGGAAUAUUGGGCAAUGGACGCAAGUCUGACCCAGCCAUGCCGCGUGCAGGAAGACGGCCUUAUGGGUUGUAAACUGCUUUUAUCAGGGAAUAAUAGUUGGUAUGUAUACUGAUAUGCAAGUACCUGAUGAAUAAGCAUCGGCUAACUCCGUGCCAGCAGCCGCGGUAAUACGGAGGAUGCGAGCGUUAUCCGGAUUUAUUGGGUUUAAAGGGUGCGCAGGCGGGCUAAUCAGUCAGGGGUGAAAUUCCACGGCUCAACUGUGGGUGUGCCUUUGAUACUGUUAGUCUUGAAUUUAGUUGAAGUGGGCGGAAUGUAGCAUGUAGCGGUGAAAUGCAUAGAUAUGCUACAGAACACCGAUAGCGAAGGCAGCUCACUAAGUUAAUAUUGACGCUCAUGCACGAAAGCGUGGGGAUCAAACAGGAUUAGAUACCCUGGUAGUCCACGCUGUAAACGAUGAUCACUCGUUGCUGGCGAUAUACCGUUCAGUGGCUAAGCGAAAGUGAUAAGUGAUCCACCUGGGGAGUACGAUCGCAAGGUUGAAACUCAAAGGAAUUGACGGGGGCCCGCACAAGCGGUGGAGCAUGUGGUUUAAUUCGAUGAUACGCGAGGAACCUUACCUGGGCUCAAUGCAAUAUGCUUUAUGGUGAAAGCUAUAAUUCUUCGGACGUAUUGCAAGGUGCUGCAUGGUUGUCGUCAGCUCGUGCCGUGAGGUGUCGGGUUAAGUCCCAUAACGAGCGCAACCCCUAUCAUUAGUUGCCAUCAGGUCAAGCUGGGGACUCUAGUGAAACUGCCUACGCAAGU
rnacentral:rRNA from 1 species